rnacentral:rRNA from 1 species
UACGUAGGGAGCGAGCGUUGUCCGGAUUCAUUGGGCGUAAAGAGCUCGUAGGCGGCUUGGCAAGUCGGGUGUGAAAACUCCAGCUCACCUGGAGACGCCACCGAUACCUGCCAUGGCUAGAGUCCGGUAGGGGACCACGGAAUUCCUGGUGUAGCGGUGAAAUGCGCAGAUAUCAGGAGGAACACCGGUGGCGAAGGCGGUGGUCUGGGCCGGAACUGACGCUGAGGAGCGAAAGCGUGGGGAGCGAACAGGA